rnacentral:tRNA from 1 species
GGAGGGCUCGCAUAGUGGCCUAGUGCGGCGGUCUUGAAAACCGCUAUGGGUUUACGCCCAUCGUGGGUUCGAAUCCCACGCCCUCCGCCG